ensembl:lncRNA
AUGCUGUCUUCCAAAAGUCCACAUAUAAAUUUGUCCUCAGCUGCUCCAUGGAACUGUGCAGCUGCACUUUUGUCCUCACUGCCUAGAACCCUGCCUCAGAGGAAAAUCAAAUCAGAGAUGCUAAGGAUUAUGAAACUGGCAGGGUCCUCCAUGAUUUACCUAGGAGACUCCUGCAGGGGAGAGUCCUGCAGCUCUUGGUUUGUGAAGAUUCACAGAUUCACAGAUUCACAGAUUUCUCUAGGUUGGAAGAGACCUCAAGAUCAUCGAGUCCAACCUCCGACCUAACACUAAGUACUCCACUAAGCCAUCAGACAGGAGGUAAUGUGCAUUUAAUUCUGACAUCCACACAAACACACAGUUCAUUGCACAACCUCUGAAGAGCAAACUAAAAUUAAUCAUAUCUCCUUCUGGCACCAGAUGUUAGCCAGGCUGGCUGGCAGGCUAGUGCGGGCUAUUAUGAUUGCUAUGGAUAUGCUUACUGCUAAAGAAUGGCUCUAGAUGUGCAUAAAAAGCAGCUAUGAGCAGCUAUCAGCUGUGUACAAACUCCACAAGUCUAUUAUCAGCAGGUAUUAUCCUUAUGUAGCAUUCAUCCUUUCUCCUUUACCCACAAAACUUUUCAAGAUUGAUUUUGCUGCUUGUUCUAUUAUUGGUUUUAAUAACUCCAUUGGAGUCACAUAGAUCCUACCUUCAUUUCUUCUUAAAGAGGAAAAAAAAAAAAACUAUGAAAAGCGCAGUACAGGCUUAUUUUAUUAUGAUGUGGAUGAUAGAAGCUACAAGAAGAAAAUGCAAAAACUGCAUGAGAAGAAACCCAGCUGACAGCUGAAUUCAGGCAGGCUGGCACGAUCAGCGACCCCCCAGAGGGGCCAAGAGGGCUUAGCAGGUGCCGCUGCCAGCAGAACUUGAUGAAGAUCUUGAUGGAGGUCUUGAAGAGAGAUCUAGAUGAAGAGGAGUCCCAGAUUUCCUUUCUUAAAGCAAAAUAUCUGGCUCUUUUCUUGAGCAAGCAGCCAUUGUAGACAUGCUGGUUCCCCAUGGCCUUCAUAUCACAGUCUGAUUCUUUUGCCCAACAUUUUCCUGUUUUCCUGGUUUUAUCAAAGAUAUAUCUAUUUAGUGGACUUCAGUCCCAGGAGUCAUGACAACAUCUGAGCAUUCAUUUUCAUUCUGAGAUAAAUAUACAGAGGAUGGUACUAAGAGGACAUGAAGAAGACAUGUAGUCUCCCAUGACUUAGUAUCGUUACAGUAGCUGCUGGUGCUGUGGGGUGAUAGUAAUUUGGCAAGAAGCUACCAUCUAGUAGAUGUAAAAAUUGUAGAUCAGUAUGAGUGAAUAGUCUUCCUGCACUUCAUGGGCUGCCUCAUUAGUGCACAUUUCCAGGAUCCUCUUAUCUCAAGCUGCCUGUAGAUACAUAUGCUAGCCAAAAGUAUUUCUGUUGGUCUGCAGACCUUCAUGCAGAUUCCUGGGUAUUAGCACAGGUAAUUACCUAGCUGGUUGCUCAGUACAGCUAGCAUCUAUCUCUGUGUCUGAAUGGAAGGAACUCUAGCUCUGUACUCUAUGGGCAUUAUGGAUAGCCAUAAGAUUUCAGUGCUCACUGCUAUCUUAAAGUGUUCGAUACACUUCACUGUUUUGGCUAAUGAGUGAGUCUCAACAUAAGAACAUCUGAUAGAAGGAAGUUUAAUUACAUACAGAACAGAAGCUGUAAGUUAGUGUUUAAAUAUGCAUUUAAUCAGCUGAGAACUUAAUAACAUUGCUUGAAACCCACUUGAAUGCUCCGAUGUCCCUUGUCAUUCAUAAUAAUAGGACAUGUAAAAAUGAAGACAAACUUUUUCUGAGGAUGAAAGUACUACUGAGUUUCCAGAGCCAAGUCACAAAAAUGAAAAUGCACUGUUGAUCCCUGGAGCUUAGUCUAAAAAGCCUUUCUGACUUUUCAGAGUUUUUAAUCAAAAUAAGUAGGGUGCCAGCAACUGAAUCUAAAAAUUAUCCCUAAAUUUGGAAAUGGAGAAGAUACAAACGGGUAGCUGCUAAUGAAAGAAAAAUGUACGCUAUGGAAAAAAGAACUAGUGACUGGAUAGCUACAGAACAUAUGGAAUCUCUCUGCAGGAAUUUGGAGGUUUGAAUAUAAUUAAUAUAAUUUGGUAUUAAAGGUCUCUCUCUCUCUCUCUCUCUUUUCCCCUCAGAGGCAGCCAUCAGAUAAAGAAGAGAGAUCAAAACAGAAAAUUGCAUAGGACUAUGGAAACCUUACAGAGGAUUUUUUCAGGAAAUGCUGUUAUAGCUGAAAUUCUGCAAGAGCCCUAUGUUUUUCCACAAAGUUGUUCAAAAAUGAUCAAAGACUCAAAAGAAGCCAGAGGAAUUAUUUGCCUUAUUUAGAAGGAACAUCAAACAUGUCAGUGAGUUAAGCUUUUAUUUCACCUCCUGCCAGUUCCUUACUGUGCCAUGAUAUGUUACGGGCUGAUAGGUAAUAGAUUGAGCUUCAGAAGAACUUGAAGGCUGUGAAUAGGGAUUUCACAGAUUCAGUUCAAUAAAGAAUAGAUUUUUAGGAAGCCA